UCGACGGUAGCACAGAGAGCUUGCUCUCGGGUGACGAGUGGCGGACGGGUGAGUAAUGUCUGGGAAACUGCCUGAUGGAGGGGGAUAACUACUGGAAACGGUAGCUAAUACCGCAUAACGUCGCAAGACCAAAGAGGGGGACCUUCGGGCCUCUUGCCAUCAGAUGUGCCCAGAUGGGAUUAGCUAGUAGGUGGGGUAACGGCUCACCUAGGCGACGAUCCCUAGCUGGUCUGAGAGGAUGACCAGCCACACUGGAACUGAGACACGGUCCAGACUCCUACGGGAGAAACUGGCAGGCUAGAGUCUUGUAGAGGGGGGGUAGAAUUUCCAGGUGUAGCGGUGAAAUGCGUAGAGAUCUGGAGGAAUACCGGUGGCGAAGGCGGCCCCCUGGACAAAGACUGACGCUCAGGUGCGAAAGCGUGGGGAGCAAACAGGAUUAGAUACCCUGGUAGUCCACGCCGUAAACGAUGUCGAUUUGGAGGUUGUGCCCUUGAGGCGUGGCUUCCGGAGCUAACGCGUUAAAUCGACCGCCUGGGGAGUACGGCCGCAAGGUUAAAACUCAAAUGAAUUGACGGGGGCCCGCACAAGCGGUGGAGCAUGUGGUUUAAUUCGAUGCAACGCGAAGAACCUUACCUGGUCUUGACAUCCACAGAACUUUCCAGAGAUGGAUUGGUGCCUUCGGGAACUGUGAGACAGGUGCUGCAUGGCUGUCGUCAGCUCGUGUUGUGAAAUGUUGGGUUAAGUCCCGCAACGAGCGCAACCCUUAUCCUUUGUUGCCAGCGGUUAGGCCGGGAACUCAAAGGAGACUGCCAGUGAUAAACUGGAGGAAGGUGGGGAUGACGUCAAGUCAUCAUGGCCCUUACGACCAGGGCUACACACGUGCUACAAUGGCGCAUACAAAGAGAAGCGACCUCGCGAGAGCAAGCGGACCUCAUAAAGUGCGUCGUAGUCCGGAUUGGAGUCUGCAACUCGACUCCAUGAAGUCGGAAUCGCUAGUAAUCGUAGAUCAGAAUGCUACGGUGAAUACGUUCCCGGGCCUUGUACACACCGCCCGUCACACCAUGGGAGUGGGUUGCAAAAGAAGUAGGUAGCUUAACCUUCGGGAGGGCGCUU
rnacentral:rRNA from 1 species